rnacentral:rRNA from 1 species
GUCGAGCGGGCGUAGCAAUACGUCAGCGGCAGACGGGUGAGUAACGCGUGGGAACAUACCUUUUGGUUCGGAACAACACAGGGAAACUUGUGCUAAUACCGGAUAAGCCCUUACGGGGAAAGAUUUAUCGCCGAAAGAUUGGCCCGCGUCCGAUUAGCUAGUUGGUAGGGUAAUGGCCUACCAAGGCGACGAUCAGUAGCUGGUCUGAGAGGAUGAUCAGCCACAUUGGGACUGAGACACGGCCCAAACUCCUACGGGAGGCAGCAGUGGGGAAUAUUGGACAAUGGGGGCAACCCUAAUCCAGCCAUGCCGCGUGAGUGAUGAAGGCCCUAGGGUUGUAAAGCUCUUUUGUGCGGGAAGAUAAUGACGGUACCGCAAGAAUAAACCCCGGCUAACUUCGUGCCAGCAGCCGCGGUAAUACGAAGGGGGCUAGCGUUGCUCGGAAUCACUGGGCGUAAAGGGUGCGUAGGCGGGUCUUUAAGUCAGGGGUGAAAUCCUGGAGCUCAACUCCAGAACUGCCUUUGAUACUGAAGAUCUUGAGUUCGGGAGAGGUGAGUGGAACUGCGAGUGUAGAGGUGAAAUUCGUAGAUAUUCGCAAGAACACCAGUGGCGAAGGCGGCUCACUGGCCCGAUACUGACGCUGAGGCACGAAAGCGUGGGGAGCAA